rnacentral:rRNA from 1 species
GACGUAGGGGGCAAGCGUUGUUCGGAAUUACUGGGCGUAAAGGGCGCGUAGGCGGCACGGCAAGUCGGGAGUGAAAGGCCUGGGCUCAACCGAGGAACUGCUUUCGAGACUGCCGAGCUAGAGUGCGGAAGGGGCGUCUGGAAUUCCCAGUGUAGCGGUGAAAUGCGUAGAUAUUGGGAAGAACACCUGAGGCGAAGGCGGGAUGCUGGGCCGACACUGACGCUGAUGCGCGAAAGCCAGGGGAGCAAACGGG